rnacentral:rRNA from 1 species
AUACGAAGGGUGCAAGCGUUACUCGGAAUUACUGGGCGUAAAGCGUGCGUAGGUGGUGGUUUAAGUCCGUUGUGAAAGCCCCUGGGCUCAACCUGGGAACUGCAGUGGAUACUGGAUCACUAGAGUGUGGCAGAGGGUAGUGGAAUUCCCGGUGUAGCAGUGAAAUGCGUAGAGAUCGGGAGGAACAUCAGUGGCGAAGGCGACUGCCUGGGCCAACACUGACACUGAGGCACGAAAGCGUGGGGAGC